rnacentral:rRNA from 1 species
GAGUUUGAUCCUGGCUCAGGACGAACGCUGGCGGCGUGCCUAAUACAUGCAAGUCGAACGAAACUUUCUUACACCGAAUGCUUGCAUUCACUGUAAGAAGUUGAGUGGCGGACGGGUGAGUAACACGUGGGUAACCUGCCUAAAAGAAGGGGAUAACACUUGGAAACAGGUGCUAAUACCGUAUAUCUCUAAGGAUCGCAUGAUCCUUAGAUGAAAGAUGGUUCUGCUAUCGCUUUUAGAUGGACCCGCGGCGUAUUAACUAGUUGGUGGGGUAACGGCCUACCAAGGUGAUGAUACGUAGCCGAACUGAGAGGUUGAUCGGCCACAUUGGGACUGAGACACGGCCCAAACUCCUACGGGAGGCAGCAGUAGGGAAUCUUCCACAAUGGACGCAAGUCUGAUGGAGCAACGCCGCGUGAGUGAAGAAGGUCUUCGGAUCGUAAAACUCUGUU